rnacentral:rRNA from 1 species
UGGGGAAUAUUGGACAAUGGGCGCAAGCCUGAUCCAGCCAUGCCGCGUGAGUGAUGAAGGCCCUAGGGUUGUAAAGCUCUUUCACCGGUGAAGAUAAUGACGGUAACCGGAGAAGAAGCCCCGGCUAACUUCGUGCCAGCAGCCGCGGUAAUACGAAGGGGGCUAGCGUUGUUCGGAUUUACUGGGCGUAAAGCGCACGUAGGCGGACUAUUAAGUCAGGGGUGAAAUCCCGGGGCUCAACCCCGGAACUGCCUUUGAUACUGGUAGUCUUGAGUUCGAUGGAGGUUAGUGGAAUUCCAAGUGUAGAGGUGAAAUUCGUAGAUAUUCGGUGGAACACCAAUGGCGAAGGCGGCUCACUGGCUCGAUACUGACGCUGAGGUGCGAAAGCGUGGGGAGCAAACAGG